AGUUCAGCUUGGACUCAAAACCGGCUUGGUUUUUUUUUAUUUUUUUUUCCCCCCCCCAGGGACUCUACGGGAAUGGGAACUGAGGGGCUGGGUUGGACCGAACCGUCCGUUCGGUCGUGCCGCUCGCCACGCUCCGACGGCUGAACAAAGGCAGAACAGUAGAACAAUCCUUCAGUGAAUAAACAGACAAAGGCAUAAACAAUAAAAGAAAUCAUUUAAUGUCAAUUACGACCGCACCACGCUCAUUAACGAUUACCCACUGGAAAGGCUGGGGAAGGCUGGAGGACAUUUUGGGGUGUGCAUUCACAGAAAGCCUUCGAACGAUGUUUCGCUGCCGUGUUUCUUCAACAGCUGCUCCACGUGAGACGCACAGCUGUACCUGUCAUGUUGCAGUCUGCUUCUGCCUGUCACUGCCAUAGAGCCCUGCUUCAUCUCCUGUGCUUAUUAACAGAUGUGGUUGCAUAAAUGAGGGGAGUGGUGGUCUGAGAUUAUGCCUCCUAAAAUUGUUCAGGGAAAAGAAAACCUCUUUUAUGCCAAGCUGAGGUACCCAAGAACACCAGGUACAAAUUAAGAGGCAAGAAAACAACCAAACAAUUGUUUGGGGAUUUCUCUUCUUUUUGCUAGAAUUAAGAAAUUCUGUAUUUAAAAAUAAUUUGUUGCACCUCAA